rnacentral:rRNA from 1 species
GCUAGCGGCAGGCCUAACACAUGCAAGUAGAACGGUAACAGAGAGAGCUUGCUCUUUGCUGACGAGUUGCGAACGGGUGCGUAACGCGUAUGCAACCUACCCAUAACAGGGGGAUAGCCCAUAGAAAUGUGGAUUAAUACCCCAUAACAUCAUAGAUUGGCAUCAUGAAAUGAUUAAAACUCCGGUGGUUAUGGAUGGGCAUGCGUGACAUUAGCUAGUUGGUGAGGUAACUGCUCACCAAGGCGACGAUGUCUAGGGGUUCUGAGAGGAUGAUCCCCCACACUGGUACUGAGACACGGACCAGACUCCUACGGGAGGCAGCAGUGAGGAAUAUUGCGCAAUGGAGGAAACUCUGACGCAGCCAUGCCGCGUGCAGGAAGACUGCCCUAUGGGUUGUAAACUGCUUUUAUAUAGGAAGAACUACAGCUACGUGUAGCUGUUUGACGGUACUAUACGAAUAAGGACCGGCUAACUCCGUGCCAGCAGCCGCGGUAAUACGGAGGGUCCAAGCGUUAUCCGGAUUUAUUGGGUUUAAAGGGUCCGUAGGCGGGUUAUUAAGUCAGUGGUGAAAUCCUACAGCUCAACUGUAGAACUGCCAUUGAAACUGAUAACCUUGAGUAUAAUUGAAGUGGGCGGAAUGUGUCAUGUAGCGGUGAAAUGCUUAGAUAUGACACAGAACACCGAUUGCGAAGGCAGCUCACUAAGUUAUAACUGACGCUGAGGGACGAAAGCGUGGGUAGCGAACAGGAUUAGAUACCCUGGUAGUCCACGCCGUAAACGAUGUACACUCGUUGCUGGCGAUACACAGUCAGUGACCAAGCGAAAGUGUUAAGUGUACCACCUGGGGAGUACGCU